rnacentral:rRNA from 1 species
UACGUAGGGGGCGAGCGUUAUCCGGAUUUACUGGGCGUAAAGCGCGUUAAGGCGGUUGGCAAAGUUGGUUGUGAAAUCUCAGGGCUCAACCCUGAAAUUGCGACCAAUACUGGUCGACUAGAGUGCAAGAGAGGAAGGUGGAAUUCCCGGUGUAGUAGUGAAAUGCGUAGAUAUCGGGAGGAACACCAGUGGCGAAGGCGGCCUUCUGGCUUGUAACUGACGCUGUAGCGCGAAAGCGUGGGGAGCGAACAGG